GAUGAACGCUAGCUACAGGCUUAACACAUGCAAGUCGAGGGGUAACGAGAGGAAAGCUUGCUUUCCUUGUCGACGACCGGCGCACGGGUGAGUAACGCGUAUCCAACCUGCCCCCAACUAGGGAAUAACUUUGCGAAAGUAAGACUAAUACCCUAUAAUUUCUUCAGAUGUCAUCUGACGAGGAAUAAAGAUUUAUCGGUUGUGGAUGGGGAUGCGUCUGAUUAGCUUGUUGGCGGGGUAACGGCCCACCAAGGCAACGAUCAGUAGGGGCUCUGUGAGGAAGGCCCACCACAUUGGAACUGAGACACGGUCCCAACUCCUACGGAAGGCAGCAGUGAGGAAUAUUGGUCAAUGGGCGGAAGCCUGAACCAGCCCAGUAGCGUGCAGGAUGACUGCCCUAUGGGUUGUAAACUGCUUUUAUACAGGAAUAAAGUUAGCCACGUGUGGUUAUUUGUAGGUACUGUAUGAAUAAGGACCGGCUAAUUCCGUGCCAGCCGCCGCAGUAA
rnacentral:rRNA from 1 species